rnacentral:rRNA from 1 species
AACGAACGCUGGCGGCAGGCUUAACACAUGCAAGUCGAGCGCCCCGCAAGGGGAGCGGCAGACGGGUGAGUAACGCGUGGGAAUUUACCCAUCUCUACGGAAUAACGCAUGGAAACGUGUGCUAAUACCGUAUACGUCCUUCGGGAGAAAGAUUUAUCGGAGAUGGAUGAGCCCGCGUUGGAUUAGCUAGUUGGUGGGGUAGAGGCCUACCAAGGCGACGAUCCAUAGCUGGUCUGAGAGGAUGAUCAGCCAUACUGGGACUGAGACACGGCCCAGACUCCUACGGGAGGCAGCAGUGGGGAAUAUUGGACAAUGGGCGCAAGCCUGAUCCAGCCAUGCCGCGUGAGUGAUGAAGGCCCUAGGGUUGUAAAGCUCUUUCACCGGUGAAGAUAAUGACGGUAACCGGAGAAGAAGCCCCGGCUAACUUCGUGCCAGCAGCCGCGAUAACAC